GGAAAAGGGAGAUGGGAGCAUCAUCCCUGCGUCCACCCGAGCGCCGUGGGGCGGCCGCCCGCGGGCACAGCGCUGCCCGCCCCGGCCCCAAAGUUGGGACCGUCCCCGCGUCCAAUGGAGCCGGUGGUGGGGAUGGACGGUGCGACCGAAAGCAACGAGGGGUCUCUUUAAAAUUCCCAUCCACUUCAGAUGUCUAAAGUAAGAUUGUGAUGAUUUUGUCACGGUUUGGUAAAUUUACCCCUUUAAGAGGCUUUCAUAAAUCCCAGAACACACCUUCAGCCAGAUUUGAAUAUAGAUUUAGGUUUUAAAACCCAGAAGCUGGGAACACCGCUUUAUCAAAGAGAAUUUCCCUUUAGCUUAGCCAUGUGUCGGAAUGGCUCUCGCAAAGAUCGGAUCGGAGAGGGGGGAAAAAAAAGAGCGAAACCUUCAUCCCGGAGCGAUCCUGCACACACUUUGCAGCCGCAUUUCGCCUUCAGCCUUAGGAAAAGUUGCCCUCCUCCCCCCCAAAUAACAAACCCAAACAAGUGACAGCUGUAGGAACUGUUGGUUUUAUUUUUUUUAAUUAUUAUUUUAUUUUUUUUAAUUAACUAUUUUUGAGAGGGGAAAAAGAAAAUAAACCAAGCAAACAAACAAAACAACCAAAGCGACCAAACCCCUUUCCGACCUCCUGCGCUCCGUUCGGAUAGCAGCUCCGGGCAGGUAUACAGAGCCGCACUAACUCGGGCUCAACGGGGAGCGACUUUUGUGCUCAGAGAACCCCCAGAUCAGCUCCCGGGAUGGAAAGGAACUGUAACUUCUGCUGCUCAGGUCUGUGGGAAGCUGGUCCCUCUUUGAAUAUCUGGACUGGUGUGCACCUGCAUUCGUUGGAAGAGGAACCCCAUGUGGAAAACCAAGGCCAGAGCUAAUGGCAGGACUCAACUCCUCUUCAUCCCUGAUGUGCUGGCCCAGCUCCAAGAUGAUGCUAAGGUAGCAGCUCAUACAACUCUUCUGGCUUUGGAAGGGAGCUUGGGGCUCCCCAGAUCCUUCUUCUUAAUGGGUUGGCCCCAGUCUCAUCACUUACAUGGAGGUUUGCUUUCAGGGGAGGAACGACCCUUCCCCUUAUGGGCCUGUUUCAAAUUGGAGCUAAGGGCAGGUAGAGCUGAACCCCAUCCUUUGGGCCCAGCACUGACUUCCUAUAAAGCAUGGGGAACCUCGCUGGACAAGGCAGUGGCAUCCCAGAGAUGGAUUAAUGACACUUGAUGUGAGCGCCCAUAAAUGAUGACGGCACACUUUGGACACAGCACGGGUGAAUAUUGCGGGGCUAAUUAGCAUUGGUAAUUGCACACUUGGCAUCAGCUUUGGCUACAGCUGUUUUGCACACCUUUGGGCUCCUUGCUCUUGCCUUGCAUUGCCAGCACCAAAGUGAACAGAAGUUUGUGUUCCAAUAGAAUAUAUAUUAUUUCACCUAUUUUCUUGCUGCUUCCAUUUCUUUCAUUUUCAAAUGUAAAAGGCUGCUGUUGGGGGUGUUUUCAGCCCUGUUGUUGCACACCUCACGUGGAUUUUCAGGCUCUUCAACAGGCACAGGGGCUGCAGAUUCCAUUUAAAUCCACAUUCUGGGAAGAAUAACCUCGCAGGGAAAAGCUGUUUUUGCACAGCCCUGAUAUCUCUCAUUAGCCAGAACACAGAAAGGAACAGAACAGGACUUUCCUGAUUAUUUCACUGUUUUUUUCCCCCUUAAACCACUGAAUUUACACACAAAAAGAAAGGCACUUUGUAUUUAAGGUUAAUCAAGUUUCAGUACAAUUUUUUCCUUUUUUUUUUUACAAACUGGAAUCACACUAAUCUUUUUUUUUUCCCCCUUGCUCUAAUGUGUGGCUGUUGAAAUCCUUAGCUGUGAUAAAUUAAGCUACUUAUUAAUCUAAUUAUCGUACAUUCAUCCUAGAAACUUUCAUGUGACUUGAAAAGGCUAUUCAACCUUUUCCCUCCCCUCCUAGAAAGGGCUCAACCUUGCACCAAUUAAGAUCAUUCUGAAGUAAUGCUUUAAAAAAGCUUUCUUUAAUCACCCAGUGGAACAUGGGCUGGUGGUAAGCAAACUAAAAGCUGUGAGAAAAGUUUACCUUACCUUCAAGUCUGGAUAUUUUGGGUUGGGAGAGGAAGGUGCAAUUGCGGCAUUCCUCCCCUCCUCCUCUUCUCUGCUCUUCUAAAGAAAUCCAUGGAAUUAUUUAGGAACGGGAGUUCUUAAUGAAACUGCUGGCAUUUC
ensembl:lncRNA